GUGUGUAUACACACACACACACACCUUAUCUUCUCUGUUUAUGAACCAAAAAUAAGUAGCUCUCUCUUUCCAGCAUUCUCCAUACAAACAACGCAUUGCAAAGUGAUGAAUGAUCAACAAGAUAUUAGUGACCCAUCCCAUUCUUACAGCCAAUCAUACAGGAACAAAGAGCUGAUCCCAGCUUGAAUGCAUGGGGAUAUCUGUGGGACCAGCUAUUUGCAACACAAGCUCAGAUAGGAAUGCAUAUGUCCAAAAUACAAUUUAAAGGCCAUCAUUUAUAGUCUCUUACCAUGCAUACUCUUAACCCUAAAUAUAUUGUGUAAGAAAAGUAAACAUGCCAAAAUGAACAUUAGCAUCACGAAAACACUGACCAGAUUGCAAAGAUCAGAAGCUUGAUGCUCAGAGUAUCAUGAUGAGAAAUGAAUAAAGCUCCAAAACAAAUUAAUGUUGUGCAGUUACAGAACCAAUAAAGCACAAAGGUGUUAUAAUGAAGCAAUAGAGCAUUUCUCUACUUAACAUUAAAGAUUGUUUUGAGUACAGAGUGUAAUAGUUUCUUAUUAAGUUAAAGAUUGCUAA
rnacentral:misc_RNA from 1 species